GUCUGGGAAAAGGGGUGGAGUUAGGGCCCGAGUGGGCGGAGUCCAGGCAAUUCAGGGGCGUGGCCUUGGAAACCUAGAGUCCCCGAGUUUCUUUGCAAGUAGGGGCCAGGGCAGAGGCGCGGCCUAGGUGCGGGCAGUUACCCGCUUUGGGUCCUCCCGGGAGUGUGGGAGCAGGGCCAUGGCAGGAGCGGAGUACAGGGGAGGGCGAGUUAUCCUUCCUGGGCCCCAGGGCUGGGGUGGGGGAGGGUCAAAUUAAGAUUGGGGCUUUAGAGAAGGUAAUUCAGGCUUCUGAGUCUUCCAGGGGGAACUGUGGAUGGGCCUAGAGCAGAGACGGUCCCUUGGGGAGGCCAAAUCCAGACUCAAUGGUCCCUAGGGAGCAUACGGACGUAUCCCACUAUGGAGAUUGUGCUGCGGAAGGGGGAAGCGUGGGAACAGGAGCCUUGGGAGUGCCAGUCCGGACUCCGGGCCCUAGGCGGGUUAAGACAGGACAUAGUAAGGGGAGGUCCCAGUCUCUCACCCGCACUCUCUGUCUCAAGCUCACCUGCUCAUAGGUAGCGCAGCCAGGCUCACAGCCCCUCUUUUCUGGGAAUGGAAGCCAAGUUGGGCCGCAGGUAAUAUCACUUUCGCAGGUGGCAAACCUACGGAUGGUGUGUGGAGAGAAGGUGCGCAGUCGCGUUCUGUUGGGAUCCUGCCCUCCAAGGCUUCGCUCAGUCAGGCGGAAGCGACUCUGGAGGGCAGCUUGGAGAUGUCCCAGGAAGGAUUCGCACCUGAACAUCGGGAAAGACAGACUCGUUUGGGUCAGGAUGUGGCAGGGCCAACUGAAGCAAAACACACAACGAAACGCUGGCGGGUACUGUACUCACCCAGGGCUCGGCUCCCCACAGCGUUCUGGGACCGCCCCAGGGUCCGAUGCCUCUGGCGUGUCCAUCUCUGAAGGACAACAGGACCAUGGAGAAGGGUACUCCUGUGAGGUGGGGCCUUAGAUCCUCAAGUAGGAUUGGGGAACUAAGGCCUGGGGGCCCCUUGAACAGGGGAGACCCCAGUUAUGCCAGGGCCCCUCAAACAUAAAAAAUAAAGACACUUCUCUUGGGAUCCAAAUGCAAUUUCUAGUAAUAAUAAAAAUGAUGGCUUAUCAUAA